rnacentral:lncRNA from 10 species
CUGGCCCGCAAGCACCGCGCGCAGCCCCGGUUCCCGCCCACGCCUCUCCCUCCACACCUCGCCGCAAGCUGAGGGAGCUGGCUCCGGCCUUGGCCAGCCCAGAAUGGGGCCCCCACAGUGCAGCGGCGGGCUGAAGGGCUCCUCAAGUGCCGCCAAAGUAGGAGCCCAGGCAGAGGAGGCGCCGGGAGCGAGCAAGGGCUGUGAGGACUGCCAGCACGCUGUCACCUCUCAUAUGCAUAGGAGCUGUCCUUGGCCAAGAGGGAUGCUCCUUGCCUGGAAUGCUGCACUCUCACUACUUCCUGGGGGCAGACAUAGCCAAUGACUGAGGGACAGAAAUGUACAAAGGCUAGUCCUUUGUCUGAAGAUGCACGUGGAUGGAUGGAGUGGAUACAAGAUAUCUUCAAGUCAGUGUCACUGUGCAGAAUCAUUUGUGUUGCUCUCAGCACUACAGGCCAACUAAACUUUUGAUGGACAUGAUUCCUCAAGAGUUCAUUUGGUUUUCUGGGUCAAGAACCACUCAGUUCACGUCAUCCAUAGGGCUGGGAUGCAUGGUUAUGGCAAAAAUAAAACAACAACGAAAACAAGCAAAC